AGCAGCCGCGGUAAUUCCAGCUCCAAUAGCGUAUAUUAAAGUUGUUGCAGUUAAAAAGCUCGUAGUUGAAUUUCGGAAUCUGUCCGUCGGUCGGGCUUCACUGUCCGUACUGGUGUGAUGGGUUUCUACCUUCUGAAUAACCGGCAUGUCAUUAAUUUGGUGCGCCGGGGAAGCAGAACUAUUACCUUGAAAAAAUUAGAGUGCUUAAAGCAGGCUAUCGCCUGAAUAGAUUAGCAUGGAAUAAUAAAAUAGGACGGCAUGGUUCUAUUUUGUUGGUUUCUAGGAUCACCGUAAUGAUUAAUAGGGAUAGUUGGGGGCAUUAGUAUUCAAUUGUCAGAGGUGAAAUUCUUGGAUUUAUUGAAGACUAACUUCUGCGAAAGCAUUUGCCAAGGAUGUUUUCAUUAAUCAAGAACGAAAGCUAGGGGAUCGAAGACGAUCAGAUACCGUCGUAGUCUUAACCAUAAACUAUGCCGACUAGGGAUCGGACGAUGUUAAUUUUUUAAUGACUCG
rnacentral:rRNA from 1 species